rnacentral:rRNA from 1 species
UGGGGAAUAUUGGGCAAUGGAGGCAACUCUGACCCAGCAAUGCCGCGUGAGUGAUGAAGGUAAUUUAUUGUAAAGCUCUUUCUUGGGAACGAACAAAUGACGGUACCCAAGGAAUAAGCCCCGGCUAACUACGUGCCAGCAGCCGCGGUAAUACGUAGGGGGCGAGCGUUGUCCGGAAUGACUGGGCGUAAAGGGUGUGUAGGUGGUUUGACAAGUUAGAUGUGUAAUACCCAGGGCUUAACUCGGGUGCUGCAUCUAAAACUGUUAGACUUGAGUACUGGAGAGGAUAGUGGAAUUCCUAGUGUAGCGGUGGAAUGCGUAGAUAUUAGGAGGAACAUCAGUGGCGAAGGCGACUAUCUGGACAGCAACUGACACUGAGGCACGAAAGCGUGGGGAGCAAACAGGAUUAGAUACC